rnacentral:tRNA from 1 species
GGGCGGUUAGCUCAGUCGGUUAGAGCGGUAGACUUACAUUCUACAGGUCACAGGUUCGAGCCCUGUAUCGCCCA